AGCUCCAAUAGCGUAUAUUAAAGUUGUUGCGGUUAAAAGCUCGUAGUUGGAUUUCUGUCGGUGAGUGCACCCUCCGCCCCUUGUGGUGAGCAGUGGUCAUGCCACCGGCAUCUUCUUGGGGAGCGUAUCUGCACUUCACUGUGUGGUGCGCAAGCCAGGACAUUUACUUUGAGGAAAUGAGAGUGUUUCAAGCAGGCGCACGCCGUGAAUACGUUAGCAUGGAAUAAUAGCAUCGGACCUCGCUCCAAAGCUGUUGGUUUCUUGGGUCGAGGUAAAGGUGAAUAGGGAUUGUUGGGGGCAUUCGUAUUUAACUGUCAGAGGUGAAAUUCUUGGAUUGUUGAAGACGGACUACUGCGAAAGCAUCUGCCAAAGAUGUUCUCA
rnacentral:rRNA from 1 species